rnacentral:rRNA from 1 species
GAUGAACGCUGGCGGCGUGCCUAAUACAUGCAAGUCGAGCGAACAGAUGAGGAGCUUGCUCCUCUGACGUUAGCGGCGGACGGGUGAGUAACACGUGGAUAACCUACCUAUAAGACUGGGAUAACUUCGGGAAACCGGAGCUAAUACCGGAUAAUAUAUUGAACCGCAUGGUUCAAUAGUGAAAGACGGUUUUGCUGUCACUUAUAGAUGGAUCCGCGCCGCAUUAGCUAGUUGGUAAGGUAACGGCUUACCAAGGCAACGAUGCGUAGCCGACCUGAGAGGGUGAUCGUCCACACUGGAACUGAGACACGGUCCAGACUCCUACGGGAGGCAGCAGUAGGGAAUCUUCCGCAAUGGGCGAAAGCCUGACGGAGCAACGCCGCGUGAGUGAUGAAGGUCUUCGGAUCGUAAAACUCUGUUAUUAGGGAGGAACAAAUGUGUAAGUAACUAUGCACGUCUUGACGGUACCUAAUCAGAAAGCCACGGCUAACUACGUG